rnacentral:rRNA from 1 species
UAGAGAGCUUGCUCUUAUGAAGUUAGCGGCGGACGGGUGAGUAACACGUGGGUAACCUGCCCAUAAGACUGGGAUAACUCCGGGAAACCGGGGCUAAUACCGGAUAACAUUUUGAACUGCAUGGUUCGAAAUUGAAAGGCGGCUUCGGCUGUCACUUAUGGAUGGACCCGCGUCGCAUUAGCUAGUUGGUGAGGUAACGGCUCACCAAGGCAACGAUGCGUAGCCGACCUGAGAGGGUGAUCGGCCACACUGGGACUGAGACACGGCCCAGACUCCUACGGGAGGCAGCAGUAGGGAAUCUUCCGCAAUGGACGAAAGUCUGACGGAGCAACGCCGCGUGAGUGAUGAAGGCUUUCGGGUCGUAAAACUCUGUUGUUAGGGAAGAACAAGUGCUAGUUGAAUAAGCUGGCACCUUGACGGUACCUAACCAGAAAGCCACGGCUAACUACGUGCCAGCAGCCGCGGUAAUACGUAGGUGGCAAGCGUUAUCCGGAAUUAUUGGGCGUAAAGCGCGCGCAGGUGGUUUCUUAAGUCUGAUGUGAAAGCCCACGGCUCAACCGUGGAGGGUCAUUGGAAACUGGGAGACUUGAGUGCAGAAGAGGAAAGUGGAAUUCCAUGUGUAGCGGUGAAAUGCGUAGAGAUAUGGAGGAACACCAGUGGCGAAGGCGACUUUCUGGUCUGUAACUGACACUGAGGC